ensembl:lncRNA
CUUCAAUCUGCAGGAGAGGAGCAUUUGCUGUGAACACAGCUCGUAUCUGUGCAGAUAGCGUUGGCAGGAGCUCUGCCUGGCUGCCCGCCUGGCUGGAGGCUUGUGUGUACCUAGGAGAUGGCUUGCCAGCUCUAACCUAUUCAUUCAAAGUCAGCCUUCAGUUGGAGCUCACACCCUUUCCUCCAGAAGAGAUUCGUGUGCUGUUACUCAUUUACUACUAUGGCCAUUUAAUACUAUGGCAUUGCCCUGGGACACGGGACGGCCGGCUGGAGGGGCAGGCAGCCCCAGCUGCUCAGGGAGGUGCCCCCGUGGCACUCAGUGCAAUGAGUUGGGACCCUGCAGCUCAGCUUUAUUUUGCCAAAUUCUGAGCCGUCAUUUGCUGCCAGCAGUCCCACCUCUUCCAUCCAGGAGCUGGUGACGUCGAUGGAGCUGCAGAUCGGAAGCUGUUCCCUGGAUGAGGUGGGCCGCCUGCUGCCCUCACCACGCUCUUCCCACCCCACUGCUGCCCGCCCUGAGGUCUGCUCCAGCGCAGGGAGGUCUGGCACUCUUGAACCUGAGGUCAAAAACAAGAGGGAGGAAAAGAAUGGCCUUCAGGCCAGAGGAAGAAACCAGGGCAACCAGGCUCUUAACGUGAUAAAAGGGCUUUAUCUCAAAGCACUUAAACAAAACACACAAGCCUGAGAGAAGAGGCUCUGUCAAGUAUCCGCCCGGGACAUGGGGAAAUUGCAAAUCCCUGCAGGACAGAGGGGCUCUUUCUUCAGUGUGCAGAGCCUGGAGAUGGGGCUGGGCAGGUGAGGGGUGCUGGGGAAGGGGUGCAUGGGGGAUUUCCCGUUUGCAGUGGUGCAUGGGCACGGAUCAGACUGUGAGCAGCUGUUAGAGAGCAGAUCACGGGCACGGGGAGUGGGCAGCAGUGCUGGAGAGGGGCAGGAGAGAAUGGGAGAUGGGACAUGCAGCAGCAGGUGGGCACGGUCCCAUCCCCUGUAUGUGGGGAGUCAGUGUAAAUCAGUGCCACCUCUGCGCUUGGUGGGUGGAUGGGUGCAGUUUGCAGGAGUUGGAUGGGUGUCGUUUACAGGAGCUGGAGGGGAGGCUUGGUUCUUGCUGGCCCCUUACAGAACGCUGCAGGGAGGAUUGUGCCAUGGAGAGGUCUCUGGGUUGUUCGCAGAUGCAUGGGCAGGGAGCUGCACACACCAUCCCGGGUCUCUGGGCUGCAGGUCCCAGCCCAUCCCCAGCCAAUCUGCUUUCCCAAGGGGCUGAGGCAGCUGUGCUUGUGGUACCUGCUCCAAAGGGACGGGCUGUUCGCUUUGGCUCAUCUUGUCCCUCAUCCCUUUGGGGCUCAGCCCCGUCCCUCCCCAUUUCUCUGUGACACACGAUGCUUCGUGCCAGCAAUCCCUGCCUAUGAGGAGAAGCCCUGCCCUGCCUGGGCGCUGCUCUCCCUCUGGCUCCUUGUUCUUCAGCCUUUGUUUGGUACACGUUCUUGUCCCCUAUGGAUGCCCAUAGUGUCCUUUCCCUUCCAUGGCUCAGUGAGGACCAUGAGGAGCUCCCAGCCAUGAAUUUCCCCCACACACCACUGCCAGGCUGUUAUUGCUGUGCGCUCCCUCCUGACUCCAUCUGUCUGCAUGGUGCUACUGCUCCGUGCCAGGAGGGCUCCGGGACCGCUGGGGUCACGGCUGCCCCAUUACGGGGCGAGAUUUAUCAUUGGCAGGUGUGCUGCGGGAUGGUAUAUUAUCCAGGAUUAUGAACUGUAACAGGAUAAUCUCUCUAAUGUAAUUCAAGCUCUCGACAUGGCUUAUGGCUCCUUAAUGUACCUCAGACUGAAGAAUUACAAGAACAUUUUCCCCCCUCCCUACCUUGUCAGCUCCUAAAUGAUUUAGGCAAUCGCCUGAAGCCAGAUCUUGGCCUCCAGUCAUAACUCAGAGCAGUUCAGUAAAUAUGAUGGGGAAGGAGUUUUCCUGCCUUGGCUCUUUCUUCCUUCCGCUGCGCUCAGCCCUCGCGGUGCUGCUGCUCUGCUCCCUGUGGAGCAUUCAGGAUGGACCCAAAGUUGGGCUGGUGGGCGCAGGGAUGCUCUGCAGGGGGAUCAUGCCUUGGUUUCAGACCACGGGGUUGUGCCCAUUUCAGCAUCACCUCUCUUUUUGAGUAAUGCAGCAAUUAGUGGUUUGGUAACACAUCAACCAAUGUGUGUCCAGCUUUGCUUUGUACCCCCGCUGAGCCAAGAGGAACAUUGCCCAUCUUCAUCUAAUUGGCUUUUAAUUCUGGUCAUUGCUUUGACCUUAAAGAUGUGGUUUGUGGGGCCGAUUUUGGAGCAGGUUCAUCCCCACAUGGGCACCAAAAGGGUGAGCAGUGAUGGCCACCACCCCAGGGUCCCACAGCGACCAACUGGCCUCAGUCCAGCCCCCAUGAGCCCAAUGACAAAUAAACCUCGUAAAAGGAGAGGAAAAAGAGGGAGAAAAGCGGAGAUUAAGAACAGGAACUGCAGGGAUAUGGCUUCCACUCGGCGACUGACUUAAAAUAAACAUCAGAUAUGCAGAGCAGGGCUGGGAGCCUUCCAUGGCAUGGGGGAAAAAGUAAUGCAGGGAAAUGUGUGUGUCCUUUAGCACGGCCGGUUAUGGGCCUGGUUACCUGGUGCUAACGUGAGUGUGGCAGAGGUGUGAUGUGCCGAGUGGCUGCAGGGGAAGGAAAAGGGGAAUGCGUGGGAAUGUGGAAGGUGCUGGGGAGUGUGGAGCAGCCAGGAGCGCUCAUCCCUGCCCCAACCCCGGCUCUGCGGGGAUGAAAAACAGAGGGAUGGAAAGCAAAGGGAUGGAAAGCAAAGGGAUGGAGAGGGGGAGAUGGGCUCAGGAGGCACCCGGCUGUGGUGGGCACGGAGGCCCCGGAGCUGCAGGUGCCCCAGCAGAGCCCACAGCAGAGGCAGCAGCAGAGCAUCCCCAUCCCCUGGAAGCGCAGUGCAGAGCGGAGCUGGAGCGUGACGGCAGCCCAUGGCAGGGCUCCGGCCGGCCCCAGGCAGCUGUAUUUACUGUUGCUAUUUGUUGUCGCCCUGGCAGCCUCCGCAAUGUGAAUUUUCUGUGUCACUGGCUGAGAGGAUUCCAGGCAGGUUUUUGAUAAUGUGGGGUUGGUUUUGUAAAGCAGGGAGGGAGAGGGGAAAAGGAGCCACGGGCUACAAACAGCUCGGCCCGGAGCUUUUAACUCUUUCGCCGCUGAAUGUGCCUGACUGCUGCGGACGGAGCAGCAGAGCUGUGCUGGAGGUCCCUUCCCCACCACUGCUCGGGGGUCCCGCACCGAUCCCCCCCGUGCCUCAGUUUCCCUUCCUGCAAAAAGGGAGGAACGUGUGGGCACGGUGCGGUGCCCGCAGUGCCGCAUCCAUGGGGCAGCUGAAGUGCCCACCUGGCAGUGCCCCACGCUCAGCUUCUUCCACCUGGGAGCUGCAGGGUUUGAUCUCUCCAGAAGCAAAACCAGAAUCCACACGCAGUCGAGGUCUCCUCUUUUGUUUUCAGGCAGACAGAGCAGCAGUGCCCGUCCCCUCCCAGUGCUGCUGCUGGGAGCACCAACACCGGGAUCUGCUGUUUCUUCCUUUCUCUCUUUCUUCUUUCCUUUCUGUCUGGCUGUGCGCUUUGGGUAAUUAGCGUAUCAUGGAGAGAUGGUGUGGUGGGACAGGAAGGAAAAGCUGUUUGCACAGCAGAGUAACUGGCAGAGCAUCUUCAGACCUGUCUGUGCUUCCCAGGUGGCACCUCCGGCUUAACCGCUUCCUUGCUG